rnacentral:rRNA from 1 species
UACGAAGGGGGCUAGCGUUGCUCGGAAUCACUGGGCGUAAAGCGCACGUAGGCGGAUUGCUAAGUCAGGGGUGAAAUCCUGGAGCUCAACUCCAGAACUGCCUUUGAUACUGGGAAUCUCGAGUCCGGGAGAGGUGAGUGGAACUGCGAGUGUAGAGGUGAAAUUCGUAGAUAUUCGCAAGAACACCAGUGGCGAAGGCGGCUCACUGGCCCGGUACUGACGCUGAGGCACGAAAGCGUGGGGAGCAAACAGG